GUGCUAUACAUGCAGUCGAGCGGACAGAUGGGAGCUUGCUCCCUGAUGUUAGCGGCGGACGGGUGAGUAACACGUGGGUAACCUGCCUGUAAGACUGGGAUAACUCCGGGAAACCGGGGCUAAUACCGGAUGCUUGUUUGAACCGCAUGGUUCAAACAUAAAAGGUGGCUUCGGCUACCACUUACAGAUGGACCCGCGGCGCAUUAGCUAGUUGGUGAGGUAACGGCUCACCAAGGCAACGAUGCGUAGCCGACCUGAGAGGGUGAUCGGCCACACUGGGACUGAGACACGGCCCAGACUCCUACGGGAGGCAGCAGUAGGGAAUCUUCCGCAAUGGACGAAAGUCUGACGGAGCAACGCCGCGUGAGUGAUGAAGGUUUUCGGAUCGUAAAGCUCUGUUGUUAGGGAAGAACAAGUACCGUUCGAAUAGGGCGGUACCUUGACGGUACCUAACCAGAAAGCCACGGCUAACUACGUGCCAGCAGCCGCGGUAAUACGUAGGUGGCAAGCGUUGUCCGGAAUUAUUGGGCGUAAAGGGCUCGCAGGCGGUUUCUUAAGUCUGAUGUGAAAGCCCCCGGCUCAACCGGGGAGGGUCAUUGGAAACUGGGGAACUUGAGUGCAGAAGAGGAGAGUGGAAUUCCACGUGUAGCGGUGAAAUGCGUAGAGAUGUGGAGGAACACCAGUGGCGAAGGCGACUCUCUGGUCUGUAACUGACGCUGAGGAGCGAAAGCGUGGGGAGCGAACAGGAUUAGAUACCCUGGUAGUCCACGCCGUAAACGAUGAGUGCUAAGUGUUAGGGGGUUUCCGCCCCUUAGUGCUGCAGCUAACGCAUUAAGCACUCCGCCUGGGGAGUACGGUCGCAAGACUGAAACUCAAAGGAAUUGACGGGGGCCCGCACAAGCGGUGGAGCAUGUGGUUUAAUUCGAAGCAACGCGAAGAACCUUACCAGGUCUUGACAUCCUCUGACAAUCCUAGAGAUAGGACGUCCCCUUCGGGGGCAGAGUGACAGGUGGUGCAUGGUUGUCGUCAGCUCCUGUCCUGAGAAGUUGGGGUUAAGUCCCGCAACGAGCGCAACCCUUGAUCUUAUUUGCCACCAUUCAGUUGGGCACCCCAAGGGGACGGCCGGUGACAAACCGAAGAAAGAGGGGGA
rnacentral:rRNA from 1 species